rnacentral:rRNA from 1 species
GAAGAACCUUACCAGGUCUUGACAUCCUUUGAAGCUUUUAGAGAUAGAAGUGUUCUCUUCGGAGACAAAGUGACAGGUGGUGCAUGGUCGUCGUCAGCUCGUGUCGUGAGAUGUUGGGUUAAGUCCCGCAACGAGCGCAACCCUUAUUGUUAGUUGCCAGCAUUCAGUUGGGCACUCUAGCGAGACUGCCGGUGACAAACCGGAGGAAGGCGGGGACGACGUCAGAUCAUCAUGCCCCUUAUGACCUGGGCUACACACGUGCUACAAUGGCGUAUACAACGAGUUGCCAACCCGCGAGGGUGAGCUAAUCUCUUAAAGUACGUCUCAGUUCGGACUGCAGUCUGCAACUCGACUSCA